UACGAAGGGGCUAGCGUUGUUCGGAAUUACUGGGCGUAAAGCGCGCGCAGGCGGCUAUCCAAGUCAGUGGUGAAAGCCCGGAGCUCAACUCCGGAACUGCCAUUGAAACUGUUUAGCUUGAGGACGAGAGAGGUGAGUGGAAUUCCCAGUGUAGAGGUGAAAUUCGUAGAUAUUGGGAAGAACACCGGUGGCGAAGGCGGCUCACUGGCUCGUAUCUGACGCUCAGGCGCGAUAGCGUGGGGAUCAAACAGG
rnacentral:rRNA from 1 species